rnacentral:rRNA from 1 species
CCUACGGGAGGCAGCAGUGGGGAAUAUUGCACAAUGGGGGGAACCCUGAUCCAGCGACGCCGCGUGAGUGAAGAAGUAUUUCGGUAUGUAAAGCUCUAUCAGCAGGGAAGAAAGAAAUGACGGUACCUGACUAAGAAGCCCCGGCUAACUACGUGCCAGCAGCCGCGGUAAUACGUAGGGGGCAAGCGUUAUCCGGAUUUACUGGGUGUAAAGGGAGCGUAGACGGCGAUGCAAGUCUGAAGUGAAAGGCGGGGGCCCAACCCCCGGACUGCUUUGGAAACUGUAUGGCUGGAGUGCAGGAGAGGGAAGUGGAAUGCCUAGUGUAGCGGUGAAAUGCGUAGAGAUUAGGAGGAACACCAGUGGCGAAGGCGGCUUACUGGACUGUAACUGACGUUGAGGCUCGAAAGCGUGGGGAGCAAACAGGAUUAGAUACCCCAGUAGUC